CAGAGAUAAAUCUCAGAAAAGGUUUUUCUCCAGGUUUCUCCUAUUCUUGUGUCCUCAGUAAAUUCCCACAUCCCUCCUGAUCAUGGGAGUGGUGUCUCAAGAAAGAGAUCUCAUAGGACCUUAGAGCUGCUUAACCAAAAUUCUACUUCUAUAGAGGAGCUUAAUUGGCAAUCCAGGAUUUUUAGGAUGAGAGAAAAAAAUAUUCAACUUCUGUAUAGUCUUGGGAAGACUGAAAAAAAGCAAGCCACUUUCUAAAAAGACAGGACUUGUAAUUGAAAGGGACAUAUAAAAAAUAAUGGAGGGACUAGCACUACCAUGGAGCAAACAGCAAACGGAUAACAGAGUGAGCUGAUAAUAGAGGCAGAGGUGGACACAGAUCUAUAAGAAGACAGAACAGCACUAAAUCUGGAGGAAUUUUUAUAGAGAGGCUGGAUCUAGGAGACUAGAAACAACAAUUAAUGAAUAUAUGGUGGUGAGUGAGAACCCAGAGAUAUUCAAGAUGCUUUACGAGAAGCGUCCUGAAGGUACUGAUGAUGGAGUGUAUGACACAGAAGAAAAUAACUACAAUUAUCCUGGGCUAGUUCUUCAAAUUCCGUAAAUGUAAAAUAUUUGAACUUGGAAAGGAAGAGCUGUCUAGACAUUGAUGAAAUAAUGAUCACAUUACUUAAUUAAAAUAAUGAUACUUGUGUCUAGGA